rnacentral:snRNA from 1 species
CUGCUCCCGUUGGCAGCAUGCAUAUUAAAAUGGGACCAGUGCACAGAUAAGUAUGGUCCCUGCGCAAGGGUGACACACACAUUUAUGAAUGCUUCAUAUUUUU